UUAAGCGACUAAGCGUACACGGUGGAUGCCCUGGCAGUCAGAGGCGAUGAAGGACGUGCUAAUCUGCGAAAAGCGUCGGUAAGGUGAUAUGAACCGUUAUAACCGGCGAUGUCCGAAUGGGGAAACCCAGUGCAAUUCGUUGCACUAUCGUUAACUGAAUACAUAGGUUAACGAGGCGAACCGGGGGAACUGAAACAUCUAAGUACCCCGAGGAAAAGAAAUCAACCGAGAUUCCCCCAGUAGCGGCGAGCGAACGGGGAGCAGCCCAGAGUCUGAAUCAGCUUGUGUGUUAGUGGAACGGUCUGGAAAGUCCGACGGUACAGGGUGAUAGUCCCGUACACCAAAAUGCACAGGCUGUGAACUCGAAGAGUAGGGCGGGACACGUGGUAUCCUGUCUGAAUAUGGGGGGACCAUCCUCCAAGGCUAAAUACUCCUGACUGACCGAUAGUGAACCAGUACCGUGAGGGAAAGGCGAAAAGAACCCCGGCGAGGGGAGUGAAAAAGAACCUGAAACCGUGUACGUACAAGCAGUGGGAGCACCUUCGGGUGUGACUGCGUACCUUUUGUAUAAUGGGUCAGCGACUUAUAUUCUGUAGCAAGGUUAACCGUAUAGGGGAGCCGCAGGGAAACCGAGUCUUAACUGGGCGUUAAGUUGCAGGGUAUAGACCCGAAACCCGGUGAUCUAGCCAUGGGCAGGUUGAAGGUUGGGUAACACUAACUGGAGGACCGAACCGACUAAUGUUGAAAAAUUAGCGGAUGACUUGUGGCUGGGGGUGAAAGGCCAAUCAAACCGGGAGAUAGCUGGUUCUCCCCGAAAGCUAUUUAGGUAGCGCCUCGUGAAUUCAUCUUCGGGGGUAGAGCACUGUUUCGGCUAGGGGGUCAUCCCGACUUACCAACCCGAUGCAAACUACGAAUACCGAAGAAUGUUAUCACGGGAGACACACGGCGGGUGCUAACGUCCGUCGUGAAGAGGGAAACAACCCAGACCGCCAGCUAAGGUCCCAAAGUCAUGGUUAAGUGGGAAACGAUGUGGGAAGGCACAGACAGCCAGGAUGUUGGCUUAGAAGCAGCCAUCAUUUAAAGAAAGCGUAAUAGCUCACUGGUCGAGUCGGCCUGCGCGGAAGAUGUAACGGGGCUAAACCAUGCACCGAAGCUGCGGCAGCGACACUAUGUGUUGUUGGGUAGGGGAGCGUUCUGUAAGCCUGCGAAGGUGACCUGUGAGGGUUGCUGGAGGUAUCAGAAGUGCGAAUGCUGACAUAAGUAACGAUAAAGCGGGUGAAAAGCCCGCUCGCCGGAAGACCAAGGGUUCCUGUCCAACGUUAAUCGGGGCAGGGUGAGUCGACCCCUAAGGCGAGGCCGAAAGGCGUAGUCGAUGGGAAACAGGUUAAUAUUCCUGUACUUGGUGUUACUGCGAAGGGGGGACGGAGAAGGCUAUGUUAGCCGGGCGACGGUUGUCCCGGUUUAAGCAUGUAGGCUGAUUGUCCAGGCAAAUCCGGAUAAUCAAGGCUGAGGUGUGAUGACGAGGCACUACGGUGCUGAAGUAACAAAUGCCCUGCUUCCAGGAAAAGCCUCUAAGCAUCAGGUAACAUCAAAUCGUACCCCAAACCGACACAGGUGGUCAGGUAGAGAAUACCAAGGCGCUUGAGAGAACUCGGGUGAAGGAACUAGGCAAAAUGGUGCCGUAACUUCGGGAGAAGGCACGCUGGUGUGUAGGUGAAGUCCCUGCGGAUGGAGCUGAGACCAGUCGAAGAUACCAGCUGGCUGCAACUGUUUAUUAAAAACACAGCACUGUGCAAACACGAAAGUGGACGUAUACGGUGUGACGCCUGCCCGGUGCCGGAAGGUUAAUUGAUGGGGUUAUCCGUAAGGAGAAGCUCUUGAUCGAAGCCCCGGUAAACGGCGGCCGUAACUAUAACGGUCCUAAGGUAGCGAAAUUCCUUGUCGGGUAAGUUCCGACCUGCACGAAUGGCGUAAUGAUGGCCAGGCUGUCUCCACCCGAGACUCAGUGAAAUUGAACUCGCUGUGAAGAUGCAGUGUACCCGCGGCAAGACGGAAAGACCCCGUGAACCUUUACUAUAGCUUGACACUGAACAUUGAGCCUUGAUGUGUAGGAUAGGUGGGAGGCUUUGAAGCGUGGACGCCAGUCUGCGUGGAGCCAACCUUGAAAUACCACCCUUUAAUGUUUGAUGUUCUAACGUUGGCCCCUUACCGGGGUUGCGGACAGUGUCUGGUGGGUAGUUUGACUGGGGCGGUCUCCUCCCAAAGCGUAACGGAGGAGCACGAAGGUUAGCUAAUCCUGGUCGGACAUCAGGAGGUUAGUGCAAUGGCAUAAGCUAGCUUGACUGCGAGCGUGACGGCGCGAGCAGGUGCGAAAGCAGGUCAUAGUGAUCCGGUGGUUCUGAAUGGAAGGGCCAUCGCUCAACGGAUAAAAGGUACUCCGGGGAUAACAGGCUGAUACCGCCCAAGAGUUCAUAUCGACGGCGGUGUUUGGCACCUCGAUGUCGGCUCAUCACAUCCUGGGGCUGAAGUAGGUCCCAAGGGUAUGGCUGUUCGCCAUUUAAAGUGGUACGCGAGCUGGGUUUAGAACGUCGUGAGACAGUUCGGUCCCUAUCUGCCGUGGGCGCUGGAGAAUUGAGGGGGGCUGCUCCUAGUACGAGAGGACCGGAGUGGACGCAUCACUGGUGUUCGGGUUGUCAUGCCAAUGGCACUGCCCGGUAGCUAAAUGCGGAAGAGAUAAGUGCUGAAAGCAUCUAAGCACGAAACUUGCCCCGAGAUGAGUUCUCCCUGAGACUUUAAGUCUCCUGAAGGAACGUUAAAGACGAUGACGUUGAUAGGCCGGGUGUGUAAGCGCAGCGAUGCGUUGAGCUAACCGGUACUAAUGAACCGUGAGGCUUAACCUU
rnacentral:rRNA from 1 species